AGUCAGUCAGAUCAUUUCCAUAGAGAGCCACUUUGCAUCAGCAGCACCAUGCUCCAGUGCUCUGGGAGAGUUUAUAGUCCUGAGAGUUGAAGACUGGAUGACUGACAGCUGUCCUUCAUGACAACAGAAGCCACAGAAAUCUUCCUCAUCAAAAACAUGACUUUGACCUCCGUCCUCAUCUGGACUCUCCUCUGCUGCUGCUUCACAGAGUCCAGAGGCCAGGUCACAGUGACUCAGCCUGGAGCAGUGAGUGCUGCUCUGGGAGGCUCCAUCACCAUCAGAUGUAGAACCAGUCAGAAUGUUUAUGGUUCAGACCGUUUAUCCUGGUACCAACAGAGAGAUGGAGAAACUCCUAAACUGCUUAUUUAUGCUGCUACCACUCGAGAAUCAGGGAUUCCAGGUCGUUUUACAGGCAGUGGAUCAAACUCUGACUUCACUCUGACCAUCAGUGGAGUCCAGGCUGAAGAUGCAGCAGUUUACUACUGUCAGAGUUAUCAUGAAAUCAACAGUCAGUAUCUGUUCACACAGAGAAAAAGCGUUGUACAAAAACCUCCCUCAGUCAGACUGAACAGAAACUGAAGUGACUGCUGCAGC